UCCCAUAUGGUCUAGUGGUUAGGAUUUGGUGCUUUCACUGCCAAGGCCCCGGGUUCAAUUCCCGGUGUGGGAA
rnacentral:tRNA from 1 species